UAGUCAGUGAAACGAUAGCUAGGCCAGCCUGCUAUACUUAAAUGUAUCUAAAUUGCGUUUUCAUAUUCCAUGAUGUAUAUCUUGAUAACCUGUUGGCCUAUUCGUGGCUACUCACUGUAGGCUACGCCAAAGCAACUUGCAUUCCACAUCAUUCUUUUAUCCAGUACAGCCUAUAGUAGGCUAGGCCUGCAUCAACUGGAACAAAAGCUCAAGGGAACAAGAGUUGGUUUGUACCAAACAGGAACUUCCAAACAUCAUCGUAGCAAAUUAGGCUAACCGCUGCCUCACACUGCUGGCAAUAAAAGAUACUCAGCCGAGAUUGAAACAUCAAUAGGCUACUCGCCAUCUCCGUUUGUUCAACUGCGUCCGGAAUAUAAACGUGCUGUGAUUCCCUCUACCUGCAAUUAACUGACUAUAUAACUCAAACACUUUCUUUGGUCGUAACUUCUCGCCAAGACCACACCCCGAACUCGCGAUUAUGCAUGCCUGAUUUACAACAAGAAGGGAGCGGACGCGUAAUUAACAGAAGUUACGCGCACGAGUCGCAGCUUGUUAUGUCUAUGCCCAGUCCACCGGCGGAUUCUUGUGACCAGGAUUUUCUAUUCUUUAAUUGCAAUGGUUAAACGACCAGGUGUUAUACAUAGUUUGGGUCCAGAUUGCAAACGCUGAAGAGAAAAUGCAUUGGCGGACAACAUGCAGUUACAGAGGAGCUGACAGAGUACAUUCGGCAGGUGAAACAGAGAUUGGACAUCGUGGCAGAUCCCAGAUGGAGCUUUCCGUUCUCCUCUAGUGAGAGACAGACUUGCCAAGCUGGGAUAUGGCAAAGGGCCUUCAGCAUCCAGGGAAAUGGCCUUCAACAUCCAGAGAAAGGGCCUUCAACAUCCAGGGAAAUGGCCUUCAACAUCCAGAGAAAGGGCCUUCAACAUCCAGAGAAAGGGCCUUCAACACCCAGGGAAAGGGCCAUCAACAUACAGAAAUCGAAAUCCCUAUGGGAAAAAAAAGCAUGGGGAAUCUGCCAAGGGAAUCCAUGGUGGAAGCGACUUCCGAGUUGGCCUACAAAAAGACGUCAUCACUGCAACGCUCCAUACCUGCUAGUUCCCUAGCGAUAUCUAACAGCAAGCCUGAAGAGAGAAUUCCUCUAAAGAUGUCCUUCAACCACAAUCAGAUGACCAGGUCCUGACAUUCAGCCUGAAAAUUGGAACAACAGGACGUAUAGGUGCGUAAGGUGGUGUGCGUUGAAUGUACGGAUGCUGACACGGGGGGGGGGGGGAGGUUGACAUCCAGAUUGAAAUUGAUGCAUAGAUGGGCGGCCCAUUGCACUGAGUAAUGGAUUGCCUUGUGUGGGCGGGGGUAAUGGCAUUCCGGGGCGGUCGGUACGGGAGAGCGGGUAGGAGAUGGAUUCCUAACGACACAGACUGCCUUGCCUUGAGAGAAAGCAGUAUAAGCUGCCCCGCCAUGAGCCGUGGGUGCAAUGGUCCUUGACAUCAAAUGGCGGCGGGGUCAUCACACCUGGGUGCGUUCGAGCCUGGAUGGAGCCCAUCUGUCCGUGAUUUAUAGUUAAAGGGCAGAAUGUGCUGGCAGGAUCUACAGUGAGAGGAGUGACUGCGUUAGCCUAGAGCCGGGGGGGGCCUACUGCCCAAUCCUGCUCCAUCUUCAGGGGGAAGAGUGACAGUGUUAGCCUGGAGCCGGUGGGUCUACUGCAUGAUCAUACUCCAUCUUCAGGGGGAAGAGUGACAGUGUUAGCCUGGAGCCAGUGGGCCUACUGCCCAAGCCUGCUCCAUCUUCAGGGGGAAGAGUGACAGUGUUAGCCUGGAGCCAGUGGGUCUACUGCAUGAUCCUACUCCAUCUUCAGGGGGAAGAGUGACAGUGUUAGCCUGGACCCAUUGGGCCUACCGCCCAUCCUGCUCCAUCUUCAGGAGGAAGAGUGACAGUGUUAGCCUGGAGCCGGUUGGCCUACUGCCCAAUCCUGCUCCAUCUUUAGGGGGAAGAGUGACUGCAUUAGCCUGGAGCCAGUGGGCCUACUGCAUGAUCCUACUCCAUCUUCAGGGGGAAGAGUGACUGCAUUGGCCUGGAGCCAGCUGGGCUUACUGCCCAACCCUGCUCCAUCUUCAGGGGGAAGAGUGACAGUUUUAGCCUGAAGCCAGUGGGCCUAUUACCCAAUCCUUGCUCUUCAGGGGAUUCCUGCUCAGCUGCCUUCUGUCUGCUUCCUCCUGAGCACAGCUUGUGCUAAAAAUUCUGAUCUCAUGCCCUGUGUUUAUAAGACAUGAGGAAUUUUCAAAGCGCAACUCUUAAACACUUGGCUAACGAGGGGUCAUCAUUUUAUAGAAUGAAUCUUCCAUUCACCAAGCUCAGAAAAAAGAAAUCAACAGGUCAUCGUAAUAAAGUCAAAGAACAAUUUCCUGACUGUUUUCCAACAGACUGGCGUUGCGGCGUGAUCAGUAUAACUGACAAUGUAUUUGGAUCAGGAAUUGGGAAGCCACCCCAACCCUGAUGUAGAUGUAUAUGUACAUGCUUUAAUCAAUACACCAGCUCCUACCAUCUCAGGGGCAUACUGACUGCUGAAAAGAGACUGAAAGACAUGCCUCUCUGAGUUUGCUCUCUGCAGCCUGAGAAGGUCUCACAAAUAUUAUACUGGACUGGCAGGCAGAACAUCCAGUAGAUGGCAGGCGAGGACUCCCUGGAACUGUAUGUGUAGUUUUUAUUUAUUUAUUUAUUUAUUUAUUUAUUUAUUUUUUUAAACUCAGACUCAGAUUUCAUAUUGAAGAUUAAAAUACAUAUACCUGUACUUACUUUUGAAAGCAAGCUGAUUAAUGUAUACAUACUCUUGUUUAAGUCUGCUUACGCAUAUGUAUGUAUGAAAAAGCAUGUUGCAGAUCUGCGUACAGUGGAGCUACAAAAUAUACACACCCGUUCAAAGUUUCUUGUUUUAGGUGUCUCGAAUUCUGUAAUCGAGACCUUUUCAACUUAACACGUUGUAAUGAACAGCAACUAAAUAAAAAACAAACGCCUCAA